rnacentral:rRNA from 1 species
AAUUCCUCUGAAAGGUGGAAGUGCCCGAAAGGGAGCCGUAAGGCAGGUGCUGCAUGGCUGUCGGAGAACGGGUCGUGAGAUGUUGGGUUAAGUCCCGCAACGAGCGCAACCCUUGUCCCUAGUUGCUACGCAAGAGCACUCCAGGGAGACUGCCGGUGACAAACCGGAGGAAGGUGGGGAUGACGUCAAGUCCUCAUGGCCCUUAUGGGUAGGGCUUCACACGUCAUACAAUGGUCGGAACAGAGGGUUGCCAAGCCGCGAGGUGGAGCCAAUCCCAGAAAACCGAUCGUAGUCCGGAUCGCAGUCUGCAACUCGACUGCGUGAAGCUGGAAUCGCUAGUAAUCGCGGAUCAGCAUGCCGCGGUGAAUACGUUCCCGGGUCUUGUACACACCG